UGGGGAAUAUUGGACAAUGGGCGAAAGCCUGAUCCAGCCAUGCCGCGUGUGUGAAGAAGGUCUUCGGAUUGUAAAGCACUUUAAGUUGGGAGGAAGGGCAUUAACCUAAUACGUUAGUGUUUUGACGUUACCGACAGAAUAAGCACCGGCUAACUCUGUGCCAGCAGCCACGGUAAUACAGAGGGUGCAAGCGUUAAUCGGAAUUACUGGGCGUAAAGCGCGCGUAGGUGGUUUGUUAAUUUGGAUGUGAAAUCCCCGGGCUCAACCUGGGAACUGCAUUCAAAACUGACUGACUAGAGUAUGGUAGAGGGUGGUGGAAUUUCCUGUGUAGCGGUGAAAUGCGUAGAUAUAGGAAGGAACACCAGUGGCGAAGGCGACCACCUGGACUAAUACUGACACUGAGGUGCGAAAGCGUGGGGAGCAAACA
rnacentral:rRNA from 1 species